rnacentral:rRNA from 1 species
UACGGAGGGUGCAAGCGUUAUCCGGAUUCACUGGGUUUAAAGGGUGCGUAGGUGGGUCUGUAAGUCAGUGGUGAAAUCUCCGAGCUUAACUCGGAAACUGCCAUUGAUACUAUAGGUCUUGAAUCAUCUGGAGGUAAGCGGAAUAUGUCAUGUAGCGGUGAAAUGCUUAGAUAUGACAUAGAACACCAAUUGCGAAGGCAGCUUACUACGGAUGUAUUGACACUGAGGCACGAAAGCGUGGGGAUCAAACAGG